CCUACGGGUGGCUGCAGUGGGGAAUAUUGCACAAUGGGCGCAAGCCUGAUGCAGCUAUGCCGCGUGUGUGAAGAAGGCCUUCGGGUUGUAAAGCACUUUCAGCGGGGAGGAAGGCGUUAAGGUUAAUAACCUUGGCGAUUGACGUUACCCGCAGAAGAAGCACCGGCUAACUCCGUGCCAGCAGCCGCGGUAAUACGGAGGGUGCAAGCGUUAAUCGGAAUUACUGGGCGUAAAGCGCACGCAGGCGGUCUGUCAAGUCGGAUGUGAAAUCCCCGGGCUCAACCUGGGAACUGCAUUCGAAACUGGCAGGCUAGAGUCUGGUAGAGGGGGGUAGAAUUCCAGGUGUAGCGGUGAAAUGCGUAGAGAUCUGGAGGAAUACCGGUGGCGAAGGCGGCCCCCUGGACAAAGACUGACGCUCAGGUGCGAAAGCGUGGGGAGCAAACAGGAUUAGAUACCCGGGUAGUC
rnacentral:rRNA from 1 species